UACGUAGGGUGCGAGCGUUGUCCGGAAUUAUUGGGCGUAAAGAGCUCGUAGGCGGUUUGUCGCGUCUGCUGUGAAAACUGGGGGCUCAACCCCCAGCCUGCAGUGGGUACGGGCAGACUAGAGUGCGGUAGGGGAGAUUGGAAUUCCUGGUGUAGCGGUGGAAUGCGCAGAUAUCAGGAGGAACACCGAUGGCGAAGGCAGAUCUCUGGGCCGUAACUGACGCUGAGGAGCGAAAGCAUGGGGAGCGAACAGG
rnacentral:rRNA from 1 species